GGCUCUCCAAAGUUCAUUGAAAUGAAAGAAUGAAUGAAACAAAAUCAGAUUAAAAAGAAGAAGAAAAGAUUCUCUUGAGUUGUCGUAUACAUGCAACGAAGAGUAGGGUGGCACAUAAGCACAUUUAAAGGAGAUUUUGGGGUUUUUUCUUUAUUUUCUCCUUUAUUCUUGAUCUCUCCUUCCCUAUGGAUCUCGCCAAGCUUUGCAUGGUCAUCACUACCCCAAGUUAGGUAUCACUAAAGAUGCUAUUUCCAAGAAAAUCAAGUUCGAAGACUUAUCUAUUAGCAAGAAACCCAAGGCCACGAACAAAGAUGACAAAGAGACCAAGAGAAGUGUAAUAGCUAGCAGAUUGAACAAGGUCAUGAUCAAAGGUGGUUCAAGCCAUAUUGUGCAUGUGAGUUGUGUUUUUUGCAUUGUUUUGCAUCUUUAUUGUCUAAUGUUGGUCCAAAUUGUGCAAAAAAAUUUUAUUCAUUGUUAAAGGUGUAGUAGUUUUGUUCAUGAGUCCAAAACUUAUGAGGUAAAAUACUUAACUUGGUGCGUAAAUGUUUACAAGUCCAAACUUUAUGAAAAUACUUACAUUGGUAUGAAAUUAUAACAAUUUUUAGAAGGCAUAAUGUUUAUGUUACUUUACUUUUAUUCAAGUACUUUGGAUGAAAGUGGGGCACUGGACAAAGCUGGUAGUAAUUAUGCACACUAUGAAUAUAGAUAAUAUAUUUGUUCACUUAUAUUUUAAUUGUUUUAUGAAAUUUCAAUAUUGAACUCA